rnacentral:rRNA from 1 species
CACGUAGGGGGCGAGCGUCGUCCGGAAUUAUUGGGCGUAAAGGGCGCGUAGGCGGCCGUUUAAGUCUGAUGUGAAAGUGCGGGGCCUAACCCCGUAAAGCAUUGGAAACUGGAUGGCUUGAGGACAGGAGAGGAAAGUGGAAUUCCUAGUGUAGCGGUGAAAUGCGUAGAUAUUAGGAGGAACACCAGUGGCGAAGGCGACUUACUGGGCUGUAACUGACGUUGAGGCGCGAAAGUGUGGGGAGCAAACAGG